rnacentral:rRNA from 1 species
CAGUAGCCGCGGGAAUACGUAGGGUGCAAGCGUUAAUCGGAAUUACUGGGCGUAAAGCGUGCGCAGGCGGUUUGUUAAGGCAGAUGUGAAAUCCCCGGGCUCAACCUGGGAACUGCAUUUGUGACUGGCAAGCUAGAGUGUGGCAGAGGGGGGUGGAAUUCCGCGUGUAGCAGUGAAAUGCGUAGAUAUGCGGAGGAACACCGAUGGCGAAGGCAGCCCCCUGGGCCAACACUGACGCUCAUGCACGAAAGCGUGGGGAGCAAACAGGAUUAGAUACCCCCGUAGUCCCUGUCUCUUAUAC